GAUGAACGCUGGCGGCGUGCCUAAUACAUGCAAGUCGAGCGAACGGACGAGAAGCUUGCUUCUCUGAUGUUAGCGGCGGACGGGUGAGUAACACGUGGAUAACCUACCUAUAAGACUGGGAUAACUUCGGGAAACCGGAGCUAAUACCGGAUAAUAUUUUGAACCGCAUGGUUCAAAAGUGAAAGACGGUCUUGCUGUCACUUAUAGAUGGAUCCGCGCUGCAUUAGCUAGUUGGUAAGGUAACGGCUUACCAAGGCAACGAUGCAUAGCCGACCUGAGAGGGUGAUCGGCGACACUGGAACUGAGACACGGUCCAGACUCCUACGGGAGGCAGCAGUAGGGAAUCGUCCGCAAUGGGCGAAAGCCUGACGGAGCAACGCCGCGUGAGUGAUGAAGGUCUUCGGAUCGUAAAACUCUGUUAUUAGGGAAGAACAUAUGUGUAAGUAACUGUGCACAUCUUGACGGUACCUAAUCAGAAAGCCACGGCUAACUACGUG
rnacentral:rRNA from 1 species